CCUGGUAGUACUCCAUCGCCUGCUGCUUCAGCUUCCGCAGCUCCCUGGCGGUCCCAGAGCUGCGGCUGCCGCUGUCUUCCCCCAUGAUGGAGAGUGUCACCGUGUACGGCCUGUGUGGGUGCAAAGCCAGGAGCAAGACGAGGUGCGAUGCAAGGUGGGAGAGGACGGCUUCAGGUAGGAAGCCAGCUGAGGCGCGAGAAAAAUUACUGUCUGAAACACAAAGAGUGAUGAUUGAUAGAGUUGCUGCGAUUUUCCAGGCCGGCUUUAGCUGUCCCUAUGAUGCUUUGAAUUUCUCCGUCGAUCAUAAUGUACUCACUAGGUUGGAGUCCAACGCUAUGGGUUGAUAGGAUCAUCUUGUUUUCUGUUUUAUUUAUUUUUCAAAAAACAAGUUAAAAUAAGCAAAGUACCACCAGUGCUCAGUGUUCAGCAAGCCCAGAGGCAGUGCCAGGGCCAUGAUGAGACGUGUGCGUCCAGAACUUGGACUUGACGCGCUGGUGGGUCUGGUGGGAUGGCAGCACUCGCUGGCUGGCCCAGAACUGGACGGAUGCCCCAGUGCUUGAACACACACACACACACACACGUGCGUGAGCGGGUCUGUGAGACCAGGCAUGCCACGGGCAUUGAAGGCCAGGCUGUGUUACGGGGAGACAGUGAUGCGGGGAAAGCAAGGUACAUUUUGGGAAAUCUGGGACCAGAUCCAAGGAGUUUGGUUCUGGGAAAGAGGGGCUGUCUCAAGUAAAGGUUGCCUGGAACUUGGGGUCUGUGGCUUCCAUGGGGCCAGGGAAAUAGAUUGCUCACGCCUGCUGGUCAUGUAGGGGUAUGCCUAGGACGAUACCUGGGUGCCCGGCAGCAUGGCCGGAGUGCUUCCUGGCUCGGGACCCCGUGUGGUAUCUCAGUCUGCUGGUGGGUGAGCCACCGAAUGAAGACAGGCUGGCCCGAGAGGUACCCAGGACGUGGCUGAGCACAGAGAAUUAGCAGCAUCCGCUAGCCGGCCAACCUCACGGGUGACCCGUGGGCAGAUUGAUGGAGCCAUCCUUUCCCACAGUUGAGUUGCUUGUCCCAAACCGUUUCCCCCAGGGACCUCUUUUGUCACUAACUGCCCUUAAAAGACCCACUUUGCAUUUGUGUCCUCUCUCUGUUCACCCCUCUCAUGCCACAGUGCGUGUUCUUUGUCCUCUUCUUUGGUGACCUGCGUGCCUCUUGCUGCUCCUGCAGACGGCUGUUUCCCAUGUAUUCGCACACACACUGCUCCUGUCCACUUUAGUUCCAGUUCUAAGCCCCGCCUCCACCCCGCCUGCUGUGAGUCCUGACCUGAAAAGCUGCCGAUGCUGCUGUGUAGCUUAGAGGGCAAACCACCGUUCUGUGGGUUCACGAGUGGCCCCCUAGAAGUCUCCGUGUGCGUGUGAGGAGGAGUACCGAGCAGUCAUCCUGGAAGACACGAGUGCUAAAGAAAACCUUCCACGGCAAGCGGUCAGCCUGGAAAAGUGGGCCAAUGAGCUCCUAAAACUAAAGCGAAAGGCUUUGGAAGACUUGCCACCAGAGGCAAGCCCUUGUGGGUGGCAGUGGGCCUCUGUUCUGUGGCAUUGAUGUACGGCCACGCGCCCCUUAGCGAUGAGGCUGCACUCUGAAAAAUGCGUCUUCGGAUGUGUCCUUGUCAACUCCCAGGGUGCACAAACCCAUGUGGGGUGACCCCCUGCACACCCAGGCUGCCGGACGCUACCUCUUUCUAGACCCCAAAGCUGGGCAGCCUGUUCUGUGCUGAGUUCCGUGGGCGGUGGCAGUGCAAUGGGAAGUGUUUGUGUUUCUCAGCGUGGAAAAGGUGCCGUGAAGAGGCUAGGGUUUUUGAGCUGCGUUGUGUGGGAUCACCAUCACACACGUGGGCCAUCCCUGAUCAGAAUGUUGUCACGUGGCCUGUGACCGCUCAUCACCAUGGUGACCCUGCCAAGGUAAAAUUCUGUUUGGUUGAAAUUACCCUGCACCCUCUAAAAAGGCAAAUCUGAUUUUGUUACUCUCUCUUUGAGGGUUUUCUUGGUGGCCCUUCCAAGUCUAGUCAUGGCUCUUCUUCGACCAUGAACGCUUGCUCUGGUUGUGUUGAUCCACCAGCAGUGGCCUGGACAUGCUGGGAUGCUUCAUGCCUCAGGGCCUUUGCACAACCUCCGUCCUUGGAAUGAAUGCCCAUUUUCCCUUUCGUUCUUCCUACAAACACCUGUUACAAUGAAAGCCUCACCUCCCUAUCAAACCCUCCGAGUCUGCUCUUGCCAAGUUGGGUUGCCAUGCUUUCUUCCAUCCUGUUCAGAAUGCUGUGUUUGUCUUGUAAUAGUGGUGGCAGCAGCAGUAGUGGUGCUCGUGGUGCUAGUCAUGGUACUACUAGUAGUAGUAGUAUCAGUAGUAGUAGUAGUAGUAGUAGUGGUAUUUCCCUUCUAUUGAGAUCCUCUGAGUGCCAUCAGUAUUUCUGCCAUUGUAAGCCUUACCGCCCUAUGCCAAAGGUGCAGCUGUAUUUAUUAUUUAUUGUACAAGGAGGAUCCUGAAGCUCAAGUUGCACUGUUGAUGUCCCGUAGCUUCAAAGUGGCGGAGCCAGAACCUGAACCCAGUCACUGUGGCCCCAGUUCACAUUACCCAGCAUCUUCAAUACAGAACCGCCAGACCAUGCCACUCGGAUUAUAAACGACCACCUUGCUGGUAGAGAGGUACAGUUUGGUUUUCAGUUCAUCUCCUGUCUAGAUGGCAUUUUCCUUGUGGUGAGUGACACUCACUUUGUAUUCUUGUGCCUACCAUAGGGCCCACACAUGGUAGAGACUCAGUGUGGGCUGCAUUUAAUACAGUGGAGUUGAAUUGUUCUAAAUAUUUCUGUAUACGUAUACAGGUAUACAUUCUCUCUCUCACUGCUUCUCCUGCUCUUUCUCUAUAUGUGUAUACUAGGAUGUUUCCAAAAGUUCAUGAAAAAUGGAAUUAAAAUGUUUCAGUACAAAAAUGGUUUGAAAUCCAUGCAUACUUUUUGUCACAAGAAGUGAUUUUCAUGAACUUUUUGAAGACCCUUUGUGUACAUGGAUUUCAAAAUUUUUGCAACAAAAUAUUAUUUAUAUAAUUUAUUUAUUUGUUAGACAGAGAGAGGUCUCCUUUCUGCUAAUUUACCUCUUUAAUGUUCACCACGGCCAGGGCUGGGCUGGGCCAGAGCUGGGAGCCCAGAACUCAAACCAGGUCUCCCACGUGGGUGGCAGGAACCCAGCCACUUGAGCCAUCACCGCUGUCUCUCGGUGUCUACAUUAGCAGGAAGCUGGAAUCAGGAGCCAGAGCUGGGACCUGAACCCAGCUACUCUGAUGGAGGACAUGGGCUUUCUAACCACUAGGCAAACUGCCUACUCUUAGACUUAUGCUUCAGUUCUGUUUUUUGGAAUUACUCUUGUAUGUACACAAUAUAUGCACAUGUCACACACACACACACACAGGUGUGUAGACAUGCGUUAUGUGGAAUCUUCAACUCUUAAUUCUGAGCUGACCUUGUUCCCCUAGGCGGUGGAUGAGACAGCAUGUAUCUGGGCCUGCAUGUCCCUGACGACAGACCUCCAACCUCUUGAAAUUCUGCCGUCACGUGCCGUAUCAUGGUUAGGUCAGAUCGCUCGUGAGCAGAGAGGGAGGCCUGGGUAAGAUCGAAUCCACGAGUGUUCUCCCUCUGGUCGUCUCAAGCGUAAGGGUGGUGCGUUCUGUUCCAUCCAGUCGCUGAGCUCGCUCACCGUGGUGCACGUGGGUUGCAGCGACAGGCACCUGCGGGAGCUCUCCUGCAGUGGACCGUGUGUUACAUAAAGGGGAGACUCUACUGAGCCCACACUGAAACCCUGCUCACCACAGGACCAGGGCUUUGCCAGGACUUGGAGGCAGUCAUGAGAUCGGGGCGGGGGUGAAGGUUCAUUUGCAACCAAUUCAAGGGCCACAAACUCACCUGCCCUUUGGAGUCCGGCCUUGUGCAGUUGCAUCACUGUGUACCAGCACUCAGUUGACAUUGACUGGGUCACAUUUGUUUACGCUUUGUGCACAUGAAACCUUUUAAAAUUAGAUUCUAGAACUUUUUAAAAUAUUUAUUUAUUUGAAAGGCAGGCAGAGAUCUCUUCCAUUUGCUGAGCCACUCCCCAGAUGCCCACAGCAGCCAAAUCUGGGCCAGGCCGAAGCCAGGAGCCCAAACUCUGGGUCUCCUGUGUGGGGGACAGGGACUCAAGCACUCGGGCCAUCUGCUGCCUUCCCAGGUACGUUAGCAGGGAGCUGGAUUGGAAGCGGAGCAGCUGGCGUUCCAGGAUGGGACGCCGGAGUCCGAGUGGCAGCCUGAGCUGCUGUACCACACCGCCAGCCUGAGAUUCUAGAACUUUAAGAGCAUCAGGUUCUCCUCUCUUCUUCCGAAAUGAUUCAGUGGCCAUGGGUGAGCCCACCCAGGCCGUCCUGCCUUCCCACUCCCACCGCCCCGUUGUGCCCCUCAUUGUGCCCCUCGCUGGCUCCUUGGCUUCGUUGCUCCCCUUCCUGGGACCCUUCCUGUUGGCCUCUCCAGAUGCUACACGUCCUUUGAGUACCUCUGGCGCCUGUGGCGAUCUUACUCCUUCCUGCUUUGCUGUGGGUUUGCAGUCAUGACCCCUGCCAAACAUCUGUCUUAGCACGCAGAACUCUGACAGUGGUGGGGCCUGGGGGGACCACGGGACAGAUUGUGCCAGUGUCUGCGUCAUUUUUCAGACUGUAGUAACAGUGAAAAUUGCAGAGCCAGUGAGCUGGUACUUCUGCAAGAGUAGAAUGUUCUGGAAAUGUCCUGUUUUAAGAAUAUUUGUAAAUAUUUAGUAAUCUUCCAUGAAAAUAAAAGCUUGUGGUCAUCCAAAAAAAUGCUUUUCUGAAUUAUGUCUUUGUGUGUCCUUGAUACAGGACUGGCUUGGACACGGUGCCCUUUGCAGUCCCAUUCACUCUCCUGUGUUCGAUGCUCUGCUGUCACCAUCUUGAAUUGCUUCCUGCAGUUUUGCGUUGCACUGGGCCACACAGAUCCCAUAGGUGGUCCUGCCUUGGAUAUGCAACCCUCCCCCCACCGCGAUGUGAUGUAUGGAGUUUAUAGCAUUAA